rnacentral:rRNA from 1 species
GAUGAACGCUGGCGGCGUGCCUAAUACAUGCAAGUCGAGCGAACAGAUGAGAAGCUUGCUUCUCUGAUGUUAGCGGCGGACGGGUGAGUAACACGUGGGUAACCUACCUAUAAGACUGGGAUAACUCCGGGAAACCGGGGCUAAUACCGGAUAAUAUUUUGAACCGCAUGGUUCAAUAGUGAAAGACGGUUUCGGCUGUCACUUAUGGAUGGACCCGCGCCGUAUUAGCUAGUUGGUAAGGUAACGGCUUACCAAGGCGACGAUACGUAGCCGACCUGAGAGGGUGAUCGGCCACACUGGAACUGAGACACGGUCCAGACUCCUACGGGAGGCAGCAGUAGGGAAUCUUCCGCAGUGGGCGAAAGCCUGACGGAGCAACGCCGCGUGAGUGAUGAAGGUCUUCGGAUCGUAAAACUCUGUUGUAAGGGAAGAACAAAUUUGUUAGUAACUGAACAAGUCUUGACGGUACCUAACCAGAAAACCACGGCUAACUACGUGCCAGCCGCCGCAGUAA